rnacentral:lncRNA from 1 species
GGGACUUCUGGGAAAGAAGAGGAAGUCUGGAGUUGGAGUCCAGACUUUGUGAUAAGGAAACAAGCUCCGAGAGGUGAAGUACCCUGCCUAAAGCCAUAGCUGGAUUUCGUGGUACACAUCGGUAAUCCUGGGACUCAGAAAGCUCAGGUAGGAGGAUUGCCUUGAGUUUGAGGCCAAACAAAAUAAAUAACACUGUCAAACAACAAGAAGAACCAAACAAUAACAAAAUUACACAUUGAGGACGUUGUCAAGGAAUGAUUUAGAGCCAG